AUUGAACGCUGGCGGCAUGCCUUACACAUGCAAGUCGAACGGUAACAGGUCUUCGGAUGCUGACGAGUGGCGAACGGGUGAGUAAUACAUCGGAACGUGCCCGAUCGUGGGGGAUAACGGAGCGAAAGCUUGGCGAAUACCGCAUGCGAUCUACGGAUGAAAGCGGGGGACCGCAAGGCCUUGCGCGGACGGAGCGGCCGAUGGCAGGUUAGGUAGGUGGGGGGAUAAAAGCUUACCAAGCCGACGAUCUGUAGCUGGUCUGAGAGGGCGACCAGCCACCAUGGGACUGAGACACGGCCCAGACUCCUACGGGAGGCAGCAGUGGGGAAUUUUGGACAAUGGGCGAAAGCCUGAUCCAGCCAUGCCGCGUGCAGGAUGAAGGCCUUCGGGUUGUAAACUGCUUUUGUACGGAACGAAAAGACUCCUUCUAAUAAAGGGGGUCCAUGACGGUACCGUAAGAAUAAGCACCGGCUAACUACGUGCCAGCCGCCGCGGUAAGAC
rnacentral:rRNA from 1 species